rnacentral:lncRNA from 1 species
AGUCCCAAUAUCCCAUUAAUAGGGUCCCAAUCCCAUUAAUGGGGUCAGAACACUCACAUAUAAUUAGGUGGGUCCCAUCCCAUCAAUGGGGUCAAGUCCCACCAAUAAGGACCCAAUAACUUGGGGGGGGGGGGGACAGACCCCAUUGAUUUCUAUGGGGUUCCAUUGAAUUCUGGGCAAUGAAGGUUAUGGGGUGGGGGGGGUCCCAUCCCAUUAAUGGGGUCAUUCAAUCAAUGGGGUCCCAUCCCACUAAUGGGGUCCCAUUAAUCAAUGGGGUCAAGUCCCACCAAUAAGGACCCAAUAACUUGGGGGGGGGGGGAGACAGACCCCAUUUGAUUUCUAUGGGG